rnacentral:rRNA from 1 species
UAAUACAUGCAAGUCGAGCGAAUGGAUUAAGAGCUUGCUCUUAUGAAGUUAGCGGCGGACGGGUGAGUAACACGUGGGUAACCUGCCCAUAAGACUGGGAUAACUCCGGGAAACCGGGGCUAAUACCGGAUAACAUUUUGAACUGCAUGGUUCGAAAUUGAAAGGCGGCUUCGGCUGUCACUUAUGGAUGGACCCGCGUCGCAUUAGCUAGUUGGUGAGGUAACGGCUCACCAAGGCAACGAUGCGUAGCCGACCUGAGAGGGUGAUCGG